rnacentral:rRNA from 1 species
AUGGCGGAGCUAGCGGUCGGGUUGUCCAAGACGGUGGUGGCGGAGGCGCUGACCAAGGUCCAGUCGGCAAUCGACGAGGACACGAAGCUCCGGCAGAAGGCCCAGCGGGAUCUGGUGACCAUUACCUUGGAGUUCGAGAUGAUGAACUCGUUCCUCGGCGUCGCCAACGAGGACAGGGCGACCAACAAGCUGGUGAUGACCUGGGUGAGGCACGUCCGUGAGCUGGCCUACGACCUGGAAGACUGCGUCGAGUUCGUCGUCCAUUUGGACGACAAGCGGAUCUUCUGGCGCCGGCUGCUUCCAGAGUGCGUGGUCGGCCCACUGCCACUGGACCAGGCGGUGACGGAGAUAGAGGAGCUCAAGGGCAGGGCCAAGGAGCUGAGCGAGUGUUACUCGCGCUACAGCCAUAUCUGCGAGCCUGCCUCCAAGUUCGUCAUGCUGCAGCAGCAGCAGGUAUCCAGCAGUGCCACCGGCGCAACAUCGUCCAACAUGCUCGCCGAGGCAAGGGACGCUGCCAGGAGGCAGCACGGCGGCUUUGGGGAUCUCACCCAGCUGAUCACCACCAACAAAGAGGACCACAAUGACUGCAAGCUUCAGGUGAUCUCGGUGUGGGGCACCGGCGGCAGUCUUGGGACAACCUCCGUCAUUAGGAAGACAUACAAUGAUCCAGAGAUUUGCAAGAACUUCGCCUGCCGCGCCUGGGUCAAGGUGAUGCAUCCUUUCGAUCCCCGCGAGUUCGUCCGGCGCUUCAUGGCCCAGGUGUACGCAAACUCUUGCGAUAAACAAGGGGUGGACAUCGGUGUGCAUGUCCUCAGGAAGAUGAAUUCAUGGCAAGAACGACUCCUGACGGAGUUUAUGCAGGAAGUCAACACCAAUACAUACCUUGUCGUCUUGGAGAACCUGACCGACAUGGCAGAUUGGGAUGCUGUAAGGACAUUCCUUCCUGACGUGAAAAAUGGCAGCCGCAUCAUCGUAUCCACGCAGAAUUUCGAGGUUGCAAGCCUGUGCAUCGGACAUUCAUACCAGCCACUGGAGCUCCAGCAGUUCCCGUCCGACCACUCUGUUUGUGCCUUUUUCUCAGAGGGUGCUCAAAAUUAUGGAAAUAAAGAAGACAGCCGAAUGAUGCCUGAAGUCUACCAAUCCUCCUCCUAUGGAGAAAUCUCCUCUUUCACUAGGGAAGCGGGCCAAAAAUGGAUGAAGACCUAUCCUCUUGUUGGACGCGAGUCACAAAUGAGUGAACUUCGCAGUUAUGCAGCUAAUGCACGUGUCAGCAAUUACCCAGUUAUUUCCGUUUGGGGAAUAGCUGGCAUUGGAAAGUCAGCUCUUGUUAGAAACUUGUACUAUGACAGAAUGCUUCACAGCGAGCAGUUUACCAAGUACUGUUGGGUGGAUGUAUCACGCCCUUUCAAUUUGAGGGAUUUUUGUCGAAGCUUACUUUUGGAUUUUCGUUCACAAAAGGAUCCAAUCGAAGAGUGCCGCAAGUUUCUGCAAGUAAAUCAUUGUCUCGUGGUUAUUGAUGAACUGGAAUCUGAAGAAGAAUGGGAUCUGAUAAAGGCUGUCUUGGUAUCUAGAGAUUCUGCUAGCGUUAUCAUUGUCAUUACAACUGAAGCCAGUGUCGCAACAUAUUGCACAAAUAACGAAGAUCAAGUGUGCAAUGUGAAAGGGCUAGAAGCAGCAGCAGCCUUUCAUCUAUUCCGAGAAGAGGUACGCAGAACGAAGUCAACUUCACAUCUAAUUAAGCACAACAGUGACGAGCUAGAUGAACUUAUUUUCAAGUGUGGAGGUCUUCCGAAAGUGAUAGUUGCUCUUGCGGAAUUAUUGGCCACACAGACGGUGAAAUUGAUGGAUAAUAUACAUUCUUUGAAUCACAGAUUUAUGCAUCAUCUAGAAACAAAUCCAGAGUAUGAUAGCCUGCGGGGCCUAUUUAGUUGGAUGCAGUCAUACUUCCGUAAUUGCCCAGAUUUACUCAAGCCAUGUAUCUUUUACCUGUCAAUCUUUCCUCGGGACUAUAACAUUCGGCGUAGGCGACUGGUUAGGAGGUGGAUUGCAGAGGGUUAUUCCAAGGAUAGCGAUGAAAUAUCCGCAGAAGAGAGAGCAGAGCAAUUCUUUUCCAAUCUCCUUCAACUGAGCAUAAUCCAGCAGUUACCAAAGGUGGUGACCACUGUGUUCGAUGACACAAAGAUGAUAUCGUGUCAAGUCAACGGAUUCAUCCGCGAGUACAUCGUCUCACGUAGAAUGGAAGAGAACCUUGUAUUUGAACUCGGGCACAAAUGUGUACUGACCACACAGCACACAGGGCGUCACCUUAUCAUAUUGAAAAGUUGGGACAGAGACAGAAUUGUGUUUGAUAGCAUCGACUUCUCCCGUCUACGGUCACUAACAGUGUUUGGAAAGUGGGAAUCAUUCUUCAUAUCAAAAAGAAUGAGGCUCCUUCGGGUGCUUGAUUUGGAGGAUGCGACGGGUGUAAAGGAUGAUGAUCUUCGGAAGAUGUUGAAGCUGCUGCGUCGCCUGAAAUUUCUCUCUUUGAGAGGACGCACUAAGAUAUGCUGUCUGCCAAAUUCAUUGGGUGAUCUCAGGCAGCUUCAGAGUCUUGAUGUGAGAUAUACCUCUAUAGUCACCCUGCCAGGAGCCAUCACCAAGUUAAAGAAGCUGCAGUAUAUUCGUGCAGGCACCACCAUCCCAGCAUCAACGCCAGAUGCCUCAACUAGCUUCUUGCCGGAGUUCCGCAGAUGUCGUCGCCUAGUUGGUGUUGUAGUGCCAAGCAGGAUUGGUGAACUGACGGCAUUGCACACGCUCGGUGUUGUCAACAUUGGUGCUUCAGGCGGGAAGGACAUCGUCAAAGAGCUCAACAAACUCACCCAGCUGCGCAAACUCGGAGUGUCAGGCAUCAACAAGCAUAACUGCGAACACUUCUUUGCAGACCCAGGUCAUGUCCAUUUAGAAUCUUUGUUAGUGCGACUCGACAAGGACAGUCAAAGUUGCUUGGAUGGGAUCUCCCUGCUCUGGAAGAACCUACGGAGUCUUAAACUGCAUGGGUUUCAGAACAAGUUGCCACUAUUGGCGGUCCAUCUUACCAAGCUCAGGAAGUUGGAUGUGGAGAUGAACACUUUAAAGAAAAAUGACAUUGAGCUCCUUGCUGAGCUACCAGAGUUAUGUAUUCUGCGCGUCAGAGUCGAGCAGCUCGAGGGUGGUAAGCUCCAUUUUUACGUCGAGAUGUACGGAGAGCAGUUGGCCACCUUCAAACAGGUGAAGAUCCUCGAGAUUGGUUGCAGCUCCAGCCCGUCACAUGUGGAAUUUGGAUCAAACUCAAUGCAAAAUCUUGAGGUGCUCAAGGUUGACUGCUACACUGCGUCGUAUCAGCUUACUGGCCUGAAUUUUCUACCUGAACUCAAACAAGUCUUGCUGAAGGGUGGCAAUGGUGAUAUCAAGACAAACCUCGAGACCCAGCUGCUUGCCGGCCAUCCAAGCACACCACCUGCUGUGGAGCUUGAAAAAUAA